rnacentral:lncRNA from 1 species
GCCACCCUUCGGGGCCUGCAAGGACCCAGUUGGGGGGGCAGGAGGGGGCCGGAGGAUGGUUGGUUGUGGGAUUUCUACUUUGCCUUUUCCUCCUUAUGCCGCCUUAGUGAGGGGCGGGAGCUCUGGCGGCAGCCCCGGGGUGGGGAGACGAGCUCCGGAGUCGGAAGAGCUGGGUUUUCUUCCGGGCCUAGCCACCAGUUGGCGGAGUGACCUUAGGCGAGUCACUCUGUAAUUUGUCUGCGCCUCAGUUUCCUCCUCUGCCUAUCAAUGUGUGUGGGGUUGAAAUCGCUUUGUAAACUAUAAAGCGUGGGUGUACGUAAAGGAUGGUUAUUGUUUAUAAUUUUUUUUGAGUUGUAAGAAAACUUAGCAGUUCCCCAAUCCUUGGGUUUUGAACCUGGGAACCUUGGAUUGGAGUUGGGGAUCCCCAAACUUCCUGAAAUUGUGGGAAUGUGCGGUUUGGGGGAAUGAUGGGAAUUUGUGGGAAUGUGCGUUUUAGGGGAAUGAUGAUCCAUCGCUAGCAAGUUUUCCAAGGGGGCUGUGACCCAGAAGAGUUAAGAAUCACAAUUUCUUCAUGCUACAGAGAGGAAACUGAGGCCUAGAUGUCAUUUGGGACCCUUCACAACCAUUUUGAAGCCCUGUUUGAGUCCCUGGGAUAUGUGAGCUGUUUCUAUGCAUAAUGGAUAUUCGGGGUUAACAACAGUCCCCUGCUUGGCUUCUAUUCUGAAUCCUUUUCUUUCACCAUGGGGUGCCUGAAGGGUGGCUGAUGCAUAUGGUACAAUGGCACCCAGUGUAAAGCAGCUACAAUUAGGAGUGGAUGUGUUCUGUAGCAUCCUAUUUAAAUAAGCCUAUUUUAUCCUUUGGCCCGUCAACUCUGUUAUCUGCUGCUUGUACUGGUGCCUGUACUUUUCUGACUCUCAUUGACCAUAUUCCACGACCAUGGUUGUCAUCCAUUACUUGAUCCUACUUUACAUGUCUAGGCUGUGUGGUUGGUGGUGAAUAGGCUUCUUUUUACAUGGUGCUGCCAGCCCAGCUAAUUAAUGGUGCACGUGGACUUUUAGCAAGCGGGCUCACUGGAAGAGACUGAACCUGGCAUGGAAUUCCUGAAGAUGUUUGGGGUUUUUUUCUUUCUUAAUCGAAAGUUAACAUUGUCUGAAAAGUUUUGUUAGAACUACUGCGGAACCUCAAAAUCAGUAGAUUUGGAAGUGAUUCAAAGCUAAACUUUUUCCUUGGCCCUCCUUGUGUUCUAAUUGCUUGCAAGUGUAAUACUAGGAUGUCCAAGAUGCCAGUUUUUGCUUCUUUGUUAGUUGUCAGCUGCUUUUAUCAAAUUUCAGGCCAUUAUCCAACAAACACUAUAAAAAUGUUUGAACAAUUGGAUUUCAAACAUUUUCGUUUUGUGGAGUGGUGCUCACCAAGUGGUACAGCCCUAAGCAAGUGAACACAAACACAUUUAAGUGUAUUUUGUCUGAUUAGAUGUUAGCCAGUUAUGCUAUUUCAUUCAAAUGUCUGAAAAAAUCAAUUGACUAUUCCCUUUUCCUAAAGGGCAGAGACAGAUAAUCUCACUUCCAGAGAAAUGACUUGGAGAAAAAAAAGUGUUGGUCUUUUUGCUCUUUUGUAAUUAAAUCCGGAUGUACCUCAAAAGACUUAAGACUGUGGUGAUAAGAUGCUUUCCUCAGCAGAAAGGAGGGAAAAAAAACAACUGGAACUCAAAGCUUGAAAUUCUGUGGCAAAACAUGAGAUGUCCAGGAUUGGAGGUUGAAAAGAUUUCACUACAGUGUUCUGCAAUAGUUGGAGCAGAUAACUUUCAGUGUAGCCACAGCCAUGGACUCCAGAUUUCCAGAUUUUCAAGACCUGGACCUGGAACCCGAAAGAGCUUGUCACGAUGCGGCAGGAACACUGGAGGUAGAUUUUUUUUUAUUUUUGAAUUUUGGGACUGUUGACCUUGCUGUGAGAAAAGAGACAACGACUGAGCAAGCACUACCACCAGCACUGUUACUGGGAAUUAGAAGACCUGAGUUUCUGUCCAGACCCUCAGUGCAAACUGAGGAUGCUCCAUCCAAAGUGAAUUAUGCCUACAGACCUGGUACCUGGAUUUUUGCCCGAGAUGAUUCCUACCACCUUACUACUGACGAAGACACCCAUUCCAGUGGACCACUGUGACCCAGGAGGCAUUCAGCCAUCAUGAUGUGGCCUUUACCUCCACUCCUGUCUUGUUCUACCCAGAUUCAGCACAGCCCUUUAUAGUGAAGUCAGAGUCCUCAAGCCAAAUAGCUAAAGCUGUUUUAUCACAACAAAGGCCUAGUUUGUUCCAUGAGUGUGCAUUUCAUUUCUUCAGUUAAAGCCUUCAGAGACACACAAUAAAUUUGGACCAGGGGAUUUUUUAGUUAUUAAUGCUCUCUGAAGAAAGGCAACAUCUUUUUGAGAGCAGCAUUGGACCACACCCCACAAUCUCAAAUGAUUGAAAUUCAUGAACAUCUAGGAUCCCGUGAAGGUCACUGGACCCUGUUUUUUCUACUUCAAAUCCUGUAGUAGCCUACUGAAUGAGAAAACAUAUUCUGACCCAUUGGGAUCAAAUCAAAGGCACAGUGAACUCCUCAUAGCAUCUUCUUUGGAAUUACUCAGGAACCAGAACUUUUUACACAAAUGUAAGAAAUUCUACCAAGGAGUCCCCUUACCUAACAGCAUCUCACAAGGCUGCACCAGAUUCCAGAAAAGGCUUCUCUUGAUACAUCAAGGUAGAACCUCUAUGGUAAAUCCCUCUGUUUAUAAUGCACUUUACAGUUUCAAAGCACUUGUACGUACAUUUAUCUCAAUUAUCAAAAUAACAGUGAAUUAUAAUCCCUUUUUGGAAAUGAGGGAAUGUAAAUUUUAAAAGUUAAGCAAUUAUCCAAGGUGACACAGCUGUGAAAGUGGUAGAGGCCAGGCUUUCUGACACCCAGUCCAGUACUCUCCUUGGAAUUAGCCUCCAUUUUACCCACAGUGUUAAAAUGGCUGGGUAUUGGGAACCUCAGGAAAUUUUCCAGCUUCCUGAUCUGGUGCCCCUAGUCACAUAGGAUGUGUGAUCACGUGAUAGCUACAUCUGGACCAGAAUCCCAUGGCAAUAUCCCACGGUUUAAGGGCAUAAUAUCUCCGUGGUGGUAGAUUGUCAAGUCAAAAACGGGACAUGUUCUAACAGCAAAGCUACCCAAUAUGAAACACAAAGCUACUUUUAGAUUUUUUAAGACUUACUGAUAUUCCUGGGCCCUAAGAGCUUGUCUAUGGUCCUAUCUUUGCAAACUAGUAUUUACACAAAAUGAGCCACCUGGUUUUUUUAAAGUCAGUAUUGUGUGUGUGUGUGUAAAUAUGACAUGGAGAAAGCUUCUGUUACCUAGUAAGAUAGUAAAGUAUGUAAGACAUGGCCCUUCCCCCAGUCUACAUUGAGGUAUAGUGUAUUAAAGGAUCUCAGGAGACUUGCAGCAAAUUACUACUGCUUCUGUGCUUAAAUUCAGAAGUCUGAAAAAAAAAAAAAAAGACUUCUAGUAAAGAGUUCCAUUUUGCUGUUUAACCCUUUGUGUCCUAAGUUUAAUCAAACACAGAAGGAUAUUUUUUUGCAUCAUUCCAUCUAAUGGAAUGCAGAAACUGCUCUAGAGCAGUAUAACCAGUGCUUCCUGAUUGCCAGCAGAUUGCCCUGGACACCCCAGAAUAAACAGCAUCUUCAAAAUCCCCCUUUCUCAUACCUUCUUAUUAAUGGUUGAAUUAGUAUGUCUCUGUCAUCUGAGAGUCUUGCAUCUUGACCAUUACCUUUAUUUUCUGUCAAGGGAAUCCCUAGAAGAUGUAUGGGGAGACAUAGGAAAGGAAUGGAAGAAAGUUAAUUCACCCCAAAUUGGAUAAAUUCCAUGACAUUUAGCAAUAUACUUCUGUAUCCCUAGAAUUGUAUCAUAACUUUAGUUCAAGGACAUUGCAUCUCAGGUGGGUUAAGGAGGUUGGGAAGGGGAGAAAAGGGAUGAGGAGAUAUUUUCUUGAGAUUUAUCUCCUUGAGAUAAUGCUUGAGAAGUCAUCCAGCCAUGGACUUCUUGGAGUAAUACUUACAAAGAAUUGGAUGCAUUUUGCAUCCUUAGGCAAAAACCCCAGUGCUGUUACAACUGAAAAUCAUUAGCCUUGUUCUCUGAUAGAUACUUACAAGCCCAACUGCAGGCAAUCAAAAUUUAUAGCAGAUGAGUUCUAACUCCAUCAACCUGUAAUGUGGUCCAUCUUAGGGAAAGAAUAGGAAAACACCUUGGUUUACCACAGGCUUUGCUUACAGUUUCUGCUUUCUGUGACCUAUUUUUUGUAUUUCAGCAUUUUGUGACCGACUUAUUCUUAGAUCAUUGGUUUUCCAAAGGCUUUGUGGCCAUGAAGCCCUUUGAGUGAAAACUGUGCAGAAGCCCAGAGUAAAAGUGAAGCUGCUCUGGAUGAAGUAGUGAAGCAAGAGUAGGGGCCUGAAUCCUGCUACAACUAUCUUCCUUUACCACCGUGGUGACACCUAAGGGGACUUCCUUACAACACCUUGAACUCUUCCGAACACAGUUUGAAAACCACUGCCCCAGACAGCAAUAUGUUUGACCUGAAUGGCAUUCCAAUCUUUUCUGUACCUCCACUCAGCACAGUUCAUGUUCAGUAGAUGCUGAACAUUCUUAGAAAUACUGUGUGUGAACUUAGAAAAGUGCAAGAAGACAGGCAUGUCUUUGACCCCAGGAAUGAUCAUUUGCUGAAGAUGGUGUCAAGUGAACCUAGAUUAACAGCCCUCCACUCCAGAUGGAUAUCCAGUGAUUCCUAGAAUGGGAUAUAGCCAGAGAACAAUUCUAUGCACCCUACACUGACAGACUCCCUUAAGCAACACCAGAUGCUCUACUGGUACUUGAAGUACAUGACUUUGAAGUCUUGACCCUCCAUGAAUACCUGAAUUAUCAGCAAGCGGGUUUUGAAGCUGGUGCCUCAUUGAGGCCAUAUUAGAGCAACUUGUACAUUUGACCUCUUGUUAUCAGCCAUGGUACUCUACUUCGUGUGCAAGAGAUAACUAUGAAAGCCAAAUUCAAAUACUGGCAACAUUUCCUAAAGGGGCUCAAUAUCUAUCAUUCGUCUUCUUUUCCAAACUACACAUCACUGUAUGACUCAACCAGUAGCAGUUAUAUUGCCCCUUGGUUUUUAUUCAGUUUAACUACUGUUUCCAAGAUAAAUGAGCUAAUAAGCUUUAAAAAAAAAAAAAAAAAAGGCUGAAUUCUUUUUUCUUCAUCACUGGCAUAUCUGCCUAUUCUCCAGAAUUAUUAUGACUAUUCAGCUCACUUUAACAGUUGAACUUCAAGCGACAAUCUUUGAACACCCCUUCUCAUGUGAUUUAAAAUGAAACCAUUUGGAAAAGUUUCUUCUAGCCAGUAAUAGAUUUUUUUUUUAAUUGCUCUGCCUUGUGCCGAGAGAUGUUCUUUUAAGAUGAAUCUUUUGAUGUCUGAUACCACCAAAUAUAGGUGGUAGGGAGAGUUGGAGGCUGGCCCUUUGAGCAGGCCAUUAGCUUACUUGCUGGGCAUUUCCGAUAGCUUAUUGCCUACCUUUUUGCUGGAAACAAACUGAUUUGAAAAACAAAAUCUAUGAAGACUGCAGCUAAGGAUUUUAUCGGUAGACUUAAGAGCUUUUGUCCUUGUGGAUAUUUUAGUGGAACCACAUCAGUCUCAAUACUGUCAUUUUACACUGACUCAGAGCAGCUGACUUCAUUCCUUGCCAUGAUAUAUAUUUAAGGCAGGCAUUGUAACAGACAUAAAGACAACUUAUCUGUUUCAGCAGGAAGGAUUCAGUUUAUGAACUCUCAGACCAGAUCAUGUUGAACAAGGAGACUUUGAUGUGUGUCAUGAGAAAACUCAUUCUUUACUUCCCAGUCAAUUUAAAGGCCAGCUAUCCUGAGCUACUCGAAUGAAUGCACUGGUUAAACAUUGGAAAUAGUUUGUUUAUAUCCUUGUCUCUCUCUAGGCCAAUUGUGAUUACAUGACUCGACUCUACAUCUCGUCAAACAAGGCCUAGGUCUGGUUGCUGUAGACUGCUCGCCCUCAACAAAUAAAAUCUGGUUGACUAGCCUCCUUGUAUAUACAACUAUUAUUUGUUAAGAAGAAAUUAUCGUCAAUUUUCUACUACCUUCCAAUUGUCAGCUCUUUUUUUCCUCUCUGGUUUUUCCUAUACUUUACAGAAAAAGACAUUGAUCUAUACUGCCAUUCCCUCUAAUCCUGCCAUACUCAGUCAAAAGGAAUGACUUAAGAUGAAGAUGAUCAUCUGCUCGAGUCUAAAAUAUACAUUGUAUAUAAGAAUUGGUGAUUAGAAAAGCAAAAAACCUAAAACUUAAAUCUAGGAGUCUGUAUACUGUCUCCAUGUCUCCAUGCCUCAGAUCUCAUCUAAAUCUUUGAACAGCACCAUUCAACCAAUCUGAGGCCUUGACUUGCUUGUAAGAUGAUUCUCAGAGAUCGGCUGAGUUAAAAAAGAUGACGACUUGAUUACCAAAGAAAGUAGGGCCAACUUUGACAAAUCUGGCUCUGCUGACCCUGUCACUCCCAGAUGUAGCAUAGACUCCUAAACAGAACCUCAAGUCUGAUUGAGGAUAAGGCCUUCUCCUGAGCUGAAAGUUCUUUGGCAGAUGAGCAAGAAACUGAAAGCUGAUGUACCUGACUGGCUCUGUAAGAUCAGAAAACUGUAUCCAGAAUAAGCCCUAUGGAUUAACCCCUGAGUACCCAGAGUAAAAACUAAUUUACAGAACUUCCUUAUUGAUCUGCUGGUUCUUCCAGAUCAUAUUCUGGCUAUUGGUAUGGCUGGCCUUUCUGAAGGUACCCUGCUUGUCUAUUUUCCUGACUCAGCUCUUGCCUGCCUUUUUCACAUGUUGCUGCAAUUAGACUCACCGUGAGGACUACAGUCAAUUUCAGUCUAUCUUGUGCCCAAUACAACAAGGAUUUUUAAUAGUAACAACCCACACCUCACCCACUAGGACUCAAUGUUCACAACAGGAAGGACCAUUGCUGCAUACUCCUUGACCAGCAACUUUUUUGAAGAUAUUUUUAAGUGCAGAGUAGGCCUCUAUUCCUGUAUGUAAUUGUUCAUUUUCAGCACCUGGAACCUCAUCUAUCGGGUCUGGAAGGAAUACAGCAGUUCGAAAGCCGCGUCCAUUUCUCUCCUUCAGUAGUGCAGAAAUGAGUCCGAUUCACCAGUACACACAGAACUGUACCAGUUCAACCUAGCAAAAGAAGAAAAGUUUCCACUGUACUUAAAAUUUACAGCUGACUCAAAUUGCCUCACAGAAUUAUUUGAUGUAGAAGGCUAGUUGUCUUACUUCAGAUCAGCAGGACAGUUGGGCUCUCAGACUCAUGACCACUGAGUUUGCUUGUGUUGAAACUGUGGUUUCAUCCAACAUAUGCUAUUGGACAUGAUUAUUAUUCCAUUCAAAUGGAUUACAGACUUCUUGAGGACAGGACAAACUUAUCUCUCAUGGUGUUUUUUUAGAAUACUUUUAUAACCAAGGAAGAAACCAUGCCAGCUGUUACCAUUCAACUUCUUAAGCAGAGAUUAAGCUUUUUCAUAUCUGUUCUUAUCCUGGACAUCAGUAGUUUUUAAUUGCCCAGCAUCCGUUCCAUCUUGUAACAACUCCCUGAUGUUUCUUAAAACCACCUCUUCCUAUUUUCAGUCUGUGGUUUGGACAGUCUGACCCAACCUUGAGCUUUGUGGGUGAACAUGUAAUUCAGACCUCAUCAAUCAGCAAAUCCAUCUGAACUGUGGAGGAGAAGCUCUCUUUACUGAGGGUGCUUUAGCUUUGUAGGAUGAAAACCUCAAACUAACAGGGCCUACCAUGUAGAGAAUGAAGCCAGUGCAGGGGAAAGCAGAGCCAAAAUAUGGAGAGACUUGAAUCCUGAUGACAGCGUUUGUGCCCCUGGAUCCAACCGUGCCUGAAGCUAGAAUAUCCCCUGGACUUUUCAGUUAUGUGAACCAAUAAAUACCCUUUUUUGCUUAAGUUACUUUGAGUUGGGUUUCUGUUACUUGAAAUUGAAUCCACACUAAUAUAUCUACCAACAUUGAGACUUGACAGAUCCAAGUAUUUAUUAAGCUAGAGGUCAUGGUCACUGAAAUUACUUUCCAAAGUGGAAGACAAAAUGAAACAGGAACUGAGGGAAUAUUUAAGAUCCCACAGAAGCGUAAAAAUGACAUGGUAGAAAGUAAUAGAAAACCUAAAUGUCUGUCAUUAAAGGAUAGGUUAAGGUGUGGUUCAGCCAUAUAGGAAUAUCUCGUAUCUGUUAAAAUGAAUAAAGUACAUUCAUUGUGUAUGGAAAAAUGGCCAUGAUACAUUAGGUGAAACAAGUUAUUAAUAGAAAAGUGUACAGUGUGAACUCAUUUUAAAAUGUGUGUGCUUAUGUUUAUAAAUGCAUAGAAAGGUCUAUUCACAGCUUUCUUUGAACAGUGUAGAUCACAUGAAACUUUCAACUUUAUACAUUUCUGUAUUAAUAUUUUACACUACCCACAUUAUUUUUAAACUUUAUUUUAAAUAAAGAAUUUUUAAAAUUAAAU